AUAUCAAACAUAGCUACGUAAUGUUACAGUUUUACUUACAUUUGGCUACAUUUUGGCAGUGGCGUCGCCAGGAUUUUGCAAGUGGGGGGGGGGAAUUUGUACCACGUCCGUCGCUGGCGAAAUGGACCUAAAAAUUGCUUCUACACAAGAAAAUUUUUGAAAUGUUUAUCACAACAUGAAUGGUUUCAAUUUUUUAACUUCCCAGUUUAACUUUGGCGGAUUUGUACAUUCUUCGUGUUAUAACGUUACGUAGAUUGAUUAUUGAUUUUAAUAAAAUGUUUUCAUAUUAUAAUACUCCCAGAAUUGCAA